CAGCCGCCGCGGUAAUACGUAGGGCGCAAGCGUUGUCCGGAAUUAUUGGGCGUAAAGAGCUCGUAGGCGGUCUGUCGCGUCUGGUGUGAAAUCCCGAGGCUCAACCUCGGGCUUGCAUCGGGUACGGGCAGACUAGAGUGCGGUAGGGGAGACUGGAAUUCCUGGUGUAGCGGUGGAAUGCGCAGAUAUCAGGAGGAACACCGAUGGCGAAGGCAGGUCUCUGGGCCGCAACUGACGCUGAGGAGCGAAAGCAUGGGGAGCGAACAGGAUUAGAGACCCCAGUAGUCCCUGUCUCUUAUAA
rnacentral:rRNA from 1 species